rnacentral:rRNA from 1 species
ACCUGAAACCGUGUACGUACAAGCAGUGGGAGCCUCUUUAUGGGGUGACUGCGUACCUUUUGUAUAAUGGGUCAGCGACUUAUAUUCUGUAGCAAGGUUAACCGUAUAGGGGAGCCGAAGGGAAACCGAGUCUUAACUGGGCGUUAAGUUGCAGGGUAUAGACCCGAAACCCGGUGAUCUAGCCAUGGGCAGGUUGAAGGUUGGGUAACACUAACUGGAGGACCGAACCGACUAAUGUUGAAAAAUUAGCGGAUGACUUGUGGCUGGGGGUGAAAGGCCAAUCAAACCGGGAGAUAGCUGGUUCUCCCCGAAAGCU